rnacentral:rRNA from 1 species
AUGAGGAAAGGCGCUCUCGCUCUCUACCUCCUCCUCCUACUCACCUUUGCUUCCAUGGCGGAGGAGGAUGCAGCUCAUCAUCGUCUGAGGCCUCAUCAACAUGAAACCCAAGGGGAGAGGAUGCAAACUGCCAGGAAGGUUGGGCGCAUGGCAGGUGGCUCUGGAGAAGGCAGCGGUAGGAACACUGGUGGUGGCGCCGCAGACACAGGGCCGCGCCGCACCAAGAACGGCGGCACUGUGGCCUCUGCUUUGGCGCUGGUUUUCACAGCUACCGCCCUUCUCUCCACGCUCAGCUUCUGA